UUGACCUCAAAUCAGGUAGGACUACCCGCUGAACUUAAGCAUAUCAAUAAGCGGAGGAAAAGAAACUAACAAGGAUUCCCCUAGUAACUGCGAGUGAAGCGGGAAAAGCUCAAAUUUAAAAUCUGGCGGUCUUGCGGCCGUCCGAGUUGUAAUCUGGAGAAGCGUUUAUCCGCGUCGGACCGUGUACAAGUCUUCUGGAAGGGAGCGUCGUAGAGGGUGAGAAUCCCGUCUUUGACACGGACAACCGGUGCUUUUGUGAUGCGCUCUCGAAGAGUCGAGUUGUUUGGAAUGCAGCUCAAAAUGGGUGGUAAAUUCCAUCUAAGCUAAAUAUUGGCGAGAGACCGAUAGCGAACAAGUACCGUGAGGG
rnacentral:rRNA from 1 species